rnacentral:rRNA from 1 species
GACGAACGCUGGCGGCGUGCUUAACACAUGCAAGUCGAACGGAAAGGCCCUGCUUUUGUGGGGUGCUCGAGUGGCGAACGGGUGAGUAACACGUGAGUAACCUGCCCUUGACUUUGGGAUAACUUCAGGAAACUGGGGCUAAUACCGGAUAGGAGCUCCUGCUGCAUGGUGGGGGUUGGAAAGUUUCGGCGGUUGGGGAUGGACUCGCGGCUUAUCAGCUUGUUGGUGGGGUAGUGGCUUACCAAGGCUUUGACGGGUAGCCGGCCUGAGAGGGUGACCGGCCACAUUGGGACUGAGAUACGGCCCAGACUCCUACGGGAGGCAGCAGUGGGGAAUAUUGCACAAUGGGCGGAAGCCUGAUGCAGCAACGCCGCGUGCGUGAUGACGUCCUUCGGGUUGUAAACCGCUUUCGCCUGUGACGAAGCGUGAGUGACGGUAAUUAGUAAAAAAGCACCGGCUAACUACGUG